rnacentral:rRNA from 1 species
GACGUAGGGCGCGAGCGUUGUCCGGAUUUAUUGGGCGUAAAGAGCUCGUAGGCGGCUUGUCGCGUCGUGUGUGAAAUCUCAGGGCUCAACUCUGACAUUGCAUACGAUACGGGCAGGCUUGAGUUCGGUAGGGGAGACUGGAAUUCCUGGUGUAGCGGUGGAAUGCGCAGAUAUCAGGAGGAACACCGGUGGCGAAGGCGGGUCUCUGGGCAGUAACUGACGCUGAGGAGCGAAAGCGUGGGGAGCGAACAGG